rnacentral:rRNA from 1 species
AGAGUUUGAUCCUGGCUCAGAAUGAACGCUGGCGGCGUGCUUAACACAUGCAAGUCGUACGCGAAAGGCGCUUUCGGGUGCUGAGUAGAGUGGCGCACGGGUGAGUAACGCGUGGGUAAUCUACCCUUGGAUCUUGGAUAACACAUCGAAAGGUGUGCUAAUACGGGAUGAAGUCUGCGAGGAUGCGUUUUUGCAGAUGAAAGGCCGCGCAAGCGGUUGUCCGAGGAUGAGCCUGCGUCCCAUUAGCUAGUUGGCGGGGUAAAGGCCCACCAAGGCUGAGAUGGGUAGCUGGUCUGAGAGGAUGAUCAGCCACACUGGAACUGGAACACGGUCCAGACUCCUACGGGAGGCAGCAGUGGGGAAUUUUGCGCAAUGGGGGAAACCCUGACGCAGCGACGCCGCGUGGAGGACGAAGGCCUUCGGGUUGUAAACUCCUUUUGCCAAGGAAAAUGAUGAUGGUACUUGGCGAAUAAGCCACGGCUAACUCUGUGCCAGCAGCCGCGGUAAGACAGAGGUGGCAAGCGUUGUUCGGAAUCACUGGGCUUAAAGGGCGCGUAGGCGGCAGGGUAAGUCUAAGGUGGAAUCUUGGGGCUCAACCCCAAAACUGCCUUGGAAACUGCUUUGCUUGAGUCAGUAAGGGGAGAGCGGAAUUCCUGGUGUAGCAGUGAAAUGCGUAGAUAUCAGGAGGAAGGCCGGUGGCGAAGGCGGCUCUCUGGUGCUUGACUGACGCUGAGGCGCGAAAGCGUGGGUAGCAAACAGGAUUAGAUACCCUGGUAGUCC